GCUGUGUCGGCGUGUGAGAGUGGUAAUGGAUUAGUGACCAAAAACAUCACGAUGAGAAACUAUAAACGAAAAACCGAACGGGGCAAGGUUUUAAUUGAGCUUUUGCAGCGGAAGAAUUUUCUAUUUUUGUUAAUUAAACGUUUUGUCAAAGUUGAUAAAUGUUAGAGAUGGUUACUAAUCUUAAGCUGUUUUUUAAUAUUUGUUAUUAUUUUUUAUAGUUUCUUUUUCAAUAAAUACUUUAAAUUGUA
rnacentral:lncRNA from 1 species